rnacentral:rRNA from 1 species
AGAGUUUGAUCCUGGCUCAGGAUGAACGCUGGCGGCGUGCCUAACACAUGCAAGUCGAACGGAGAUUACGGACGGAAGUUUUCGGAUGGAAGACUGUAAUUCUUAGUGGCGGACGGGUGAGUAACGCGUGGGCAACCUGCCCUAUACAGGGGGAUAGCAGCUGGAAACGGCUGGUAAGACCGCAUAAGUCGGCGAGACCGCAUGGUUUUGUCGGGAAAUGAGCAAUCAGGUAUAGGAUGGGCCCGCGUCCGAUUAGCCAGUUGGCAGGGUAAAAGCCUACCAAAGCAACGAUCGGUAGCCGGACUGAGAGGUCGGACGGCCACAUUGGGACUGAGACACGGCCCAAACUCCUACGGGAGGCAGCAGUGGGGAAUAUUGCACAAUGGGGGAAACCCUGAUGCAGCGACGCCGCGUGAGUGAAGAAGUAUUUCGGUAUGUAAAGCUCUAUCAGCAGGGAAGAUGAUGACGGUACCUGACUAAGAAGCCCCGGCUAACUACGUGCCAGCAGCCGCGGUAAUACGUAGGGGGCAAGCGUUAUCCGGAUUUACUGGGUGUAAAGGGAGCGCAGGCGGUUUGGCAAGUUGAGAGUGGAAGCAGGGGGCUCAACCCCCUGACUGCUCCCAAAACUGUUAAACUUGAGUAUGGGAGAGGCAGGCGGAAUUCCUAGUGUAGCGGUGAAAUGCUUAGAUAUUAGGAAGAACACCGGUGGCGAAGGCGGCCUGCUGGACCAAAACUGACGCUGAGGCUCGAAAGCGUGGGUAGCAAACAGGAUUAGAUACCCUGGUAGUCCACGCUGUAAACGAUGAAUACUAGGUGCUGGGAGGCAUAAGCCUUUCGGUGCCGUCGCAAACGCAUUAAGUAUUCCACCUGGGGAGUACGUUCGCAAGAAUGAAACUCAAAGGAAUUGACGGGGACCCGCACAAGCGGUGGAGCAUGUGGUUUAA